rnacentral:rRNA from 1 species
GUGGGGAAUAUUGGACAAUGGGCGCAAGCCUGAUCCAGCCAUGCCGCGUGAGUGAUGAAGGCCCUAGGGUUGUAAAGCUCUUUCACCGGAGAAGAUAAUGACGGUAUCCGGAGAAGAAGCCCCGGCUAACUUCGUGCCAGCAGCCGCGGUAAUACGAAGGGGGCUAGCGUUGUUCGGAAUUACUGGGCGUAAAGCGCACGUAGGCGGACAUUUAAGUCAGGGGUGAAAUCCCGGGGCUCAACCCCGGAACUGCCUUUGAUACUGGGUGUCUGGAGUAUGGAAGAGGUAAGUGGAAUUCCGAGUGUAGAGGUGAAAUUCGUAGAUAUUCGGAGGAACACCAGUGGCGAAGGCGGCUUACUGGUCCAUUACUGACGCUGAGGUGCGAAAGCGUGGGGAGCAAACAGGAUUAGAAACCCUAUAGUCC